CAUAUGCUUGUCUCAAAGAUUAAGCCAUGCAUGUCUAAGUUCACACUGUCUCACGGUGAAACCGCGAAUGGCUCAUUAAAUCAGUCGAGGUUCCUUAGAUGACACGAUCCUACUUGGAUAACUGUGGCAAUUCUAGAGCUAAUACAUGCCUAUGAAGCUCCGACCCUCGUGGAAAGAGCGCUUUUAUUAGUUCAAAACCAAUCGCCGGUGGUCCUCGGGCCGCCGGUGUCCCCUUUGGUGACUCUGGAUAACUUUGUGCUGAUCGCAUGGCCUUCGCGCCGGCGACGCAUCUUUCAAAUGUCUGCCCUAUCAAAUGUCGAUGGUACGUGAUAUGCCUACCAUGUUUGUAACGGGUAACGGGGAAUCAGGGUUCGAUUCCGGAGAGGGAGCAUGAGAAACGGCUACCACAUCCAAGGAAGGCAGCAGGCGCGCAACUUACCCACUCCCGGCACGGGGAGGUAGUGACGAAAAAUAACAAUACGGGACUCUCUACGAGGCUCCGUAAUUGGAAUGAGUACACUUUAAACCCUUUAACGAGGAUCUAUUGGAGGGCAAGUCUGGUGCCAGCAGCCGCGGUAAUUCCAGCUCCAAUAGCGUAUAUUAAAGUUGUUGCAGUUAAAAAGCUCGUAGUUGGAUCUCAGGUGCAGGCGGACGGUCCGGCUCGCGCCGGUUCACUGUCCGUAUUUCCUGCCCUACUGGUCUGCCGGCUCUCUCCCGCGGGUGCUCUUCGCUGAGCGUCCCGGGUGGCCGGCGCGUUUACUUUGAAAAAAUUAGAGUGUUCAAAGCAGGCCUCGGCUGCCUGAAUAAUGGUGCAUGGAAUAAUGGAAUAGGACCUCGGUUCUAUUUUGUUGGUUUUCGGAACUGGAGGUAAUGAUUAAAAGGGACAAACGGGGGCAUUCGUAUUGCGGCGUUAGAGGUGAAAUUCUUGGAUCGCCGCAAGACGAGCUACUGCGAAAGCAUUUGUCAAGAAUGUUUUCAUUAAUCAAGAACGAAAGUCA
rnacentral:rRNA from 1 species